CUACGUAGGUGGCAAGCGUUGUCCGGAUUUACUGGGUGUAAAGGGCGUGCAGCCGGGGAAGCAAGUCAGGUGUGAAAUGCAGAGGCUUAACCUCUGAAUUGCAUUUGAAACUGUUUUUCUUGAGUACUGGAGGGGCAAUCGGAAUUCCUAGUGUAGCGGUGAAAUGCGUAGAUAUUAGCCGGAACACCUGUGGAGAAGGCGGUUUCCUACUCUGGUACUGACGCUCAUGGACGAAAGCGUGGGGAGCGAUCGGGAUUAGAUACCCCGGUAGUCCACGCCGUAAACGAUGGGUGCUGGGUGUCGGUCCGGUAAAACGGAUCGGUGCCGAAGUUAACACGUUAAGCACCCCACCUGGGGACUACGGCCGCAAGGUUGAAACUCAAAGGAAUUGACGGGG
rnacentral:rRNA from 1 species